rnacentral:rRNA from 1 species
AAAAGCUCGUAGUUGGAUCUCAGAUCCGGCCGGACGGUCCGCCUACCGGUGGUUACUGUUCGUUGCCGAUCGUUCAGGCGGUUAUUCUUGAUGAUCUUCACCGGUUGUCUCGGGUGACCGCCAAGUUUACUUUGAAAAAAUUAGAGUGCUCAAAGCAGGCGCGACGCCUGAAUAAUUGUGCAUGGAAUAAUGGAAUAGGACCUCGGUUCUAUUUUGUUGGUUUUCGGAACACGAGGUAAUGAUUAAGAGGGACAGACGGGGGCAUUCGUAUUGCGACGCUAGAGGUGAAAUUCUUGGACCGUCGCAAGACGAACUACUGCGAAAGCAUUUGCCAAGAAUGUUUCCAUUAAUCAAGAACGAAAGUUAGAGGUCCGAAGGCGAUCAGAUACCGCCCUAGUUCUAACCAUAAACGAUGCCAGCCAGCGAUCCGGCUGUGUUCCUCAAAUGACACGCCGGGCAGCUUCCGGGAAACCAAAGCUUUUGGGUUCCGGGGGAAGUAUGGUUGCAAAGCUGAAACUUAAAGGAAUAGACGGAAGGGCACCACCAGGAUUGGAGCCUGCGGCUUAAUUUGACUCAACACGGGGAAACUUACCCGGCCCGGACACAGGAAGGAUUGACAGAUUAAGAGCUCUUUCUUGAUUCUGUGGGUGGUGGUGCAUGGCCGUUCUUAGUUGGUGGGGCGACUUGUCUGGUUAAUUCCGAUAACGAACGAGACUCUAGCCUACUAAAUAGACGUUCCCAUCAUCUUGUGUGGGACGUUCUUCUUAGAGGGACAAGCGGCGUCUAGCCGCACGAGACAGAGCAAUAACAGGUCUGAGAUGCCCUUAGAUGUCCGGGGCCGCACGCGCGCUACAUUGAAGGACUCAGCGUGUGCUUUCCCUGUCCGAAAGGACUGGGUAACCCGUUGAACCUCCUUCGUGCUGGGGAUUGGCGAAUGUAAUUGACGCCAUGAACGAGGAAUUCCCAGUAAGCAUGAGUCAUCAGCUCGUGCUGAUUACGUCCCUGCCCUUUGUACUCACCGCCCGUCGCUACUACCGAUUGAGUGAUUUAGUGAGGUCUUCGGACUGGCUCUCGGUCUGGCCUUCGUGGUCGAGCCGGUGUGCCGGAAAGAUGACCAAACUUGAUUAUUUAGAGGAAGUAAAAGUCGUAACAAGGUUUU